rnacentral:rRNA from 1 species
GACGAACGCUGGCGGCGUGCUUAACACAUGCAAGUCGAACGAAGAGCGAUGGAAGCUUGCUUCUAUCAAUCUUAGUGGCGAACGGGUGAGUAACGCGUAAUCAACCUGCCCUUCAGAGGGGGACAACAGUUGGAAACGACUGCUAAUACCGCAUACGAUCCAAUCUCGGCAUCGAGGAUGGAUGAAAGGUGGCCUCUAUUUAUAAGCUAUCACUGAAGGAGGGGAUUGCGUCUGAUUAGCUAGUUGGAGGGGUAACGGCCCACCAAGGCGAUGAUCAGUAGCCGGUCUGAGAGGAUGGACGGCCACAUUGGGACUGAGACACGGCCCAGACUCCUACGGGAGGCAGCAGUGGGGAAUCUUCCGCAAUGGACGAAAGUCUGACGGAGCAACGCCGCGUGAGUGAUGACGGCCUUCGGGUUGUAAAGCUCUGUUAAUCGGGACGAAAGGCCUUCUUGCGAAUAGUCAGAAGGAUUGACGGUACCGGAAUAGAAAGCCACGGCUAACUACGUGCCAGCAGCCGCGGUAAUACGUAGGUGGCAAGCGUUGUCCGGAAUUAUUGGGCGUAAAGCGCGCGCAGGCGGAUUGGUCAGUCUGUCUUAAAAGUUCGGGGCUUAACCCCGUGAUGGGAUGGAAACUGCCAAUCUAGAGUAUCGGAGAGGAAAGUGGAAUUCCUAGAGUAGCGGUGAAAUGCGUAGAUAUUAGGAAGAACACCAGUGGCGAAGGCGACUUUCUGGACGAAAACUGACGCUGAGGCGCGAAAGCCAGGGGAGCGAACGGGAUUAGAUACCCCGGUAGUCCUGGCCGU